rnacentral:rRNA from 1 species
AUUGAACGCUGGCGGCAGGCCUAACACAUGCAAGUCGAGCGGAUGAAGGGAGCUUGCUCCUGGAUUCAGCGGCGGACGGGUGAGUAAUGCCUAGGAAUCUGCCUGGUAGUGGGGGAUAACGUCCGGAAACGGGCGCUAAUACCGCAUACGUCCUGAGGGAGAAAGUGGGGGAUCUUCGGACCUCACGCUAUCAGAUGAGCCUAGGUCGGAUUAGCUAGUUGGUGGGGUAAAGGCCUACCAAGGCGACGAUCCGUAACUGGUCUGAGAGGAUGAUCAGUCACACUGGAACUGAGACACGGCCCAGACUCCUACGGGAGGCAGCAGUGGGGAAUAUUGGACAAUGGGCGAAAGCCUGAUCCAGCCAUGCCGCGUGUGUGAAGAAGGUCCUCGGAUUGUAAAGCACUUUAAGUUGGGAGGAAGGGCAGUAAGUUAAUACCUUGCUGUUUUGACGUUACCAACAGAAUAAGCACCGGCUAACUUCGUG